GUCCGGAAUUACUGGGCGUAAAGAGUUCGUAGGCGGUCUGAUAAGUCAGAUGUGAAAGGCGUAGGCUUAACCUAUGUAAGCAUAUGAAACUGUCAGACUUGAGGUAAGGAGAGGAAAGUGGAAUUCCUAGUGUAGCGGUGAAAUGCGUAGAUAUUAGGAGGAAUACCAGUGGCGAAGGCGACUUUCUGGACUUAAACUGACGCUGAGGAACGAAAGCGUGGGGAGCAAACAGGAUUAGAUACCCUGGUAGUCCACGCCGUAAACGAUGAGUGCUAGGUGUCGGGUAGAAAUAUUCGGUGCCGCAGCUAACGCAAUAAGCACUCCGCCUGGGGAGUACGUACGCAAGUAUGAAACUCAAAGGAAUUGACGGGGACCCGCACAAGCAGCGGAGCAUGUGGUUUAAUUCGAAGCAACGCGAAGAACCUUACCAGGGCUUGACAUGCCCCUGACAUCACUAGAGAUAGUGAGUUAUCCUUUCGGGGAUACAGGGGACACAGGUGGUGCAUGGUUGUCGUCAGCUCGUGUCGUGAGAUGUUGGGUUAAGUCCCGCAACGAGCGCAACCCUUGUAUUUAGUUGCCAGCAUUAAGUUGGGCACUCUAGAUAGACUGCCGUGGACAACACGGAGGAAGGUGGGGAUGACGUCAAAUCAUCAUGCCCUUUAUGUCCUGGGCUACACACGUGCUACAAUGGUCGGUACAACGAGCAGCAAGCUAGCGAUAGCAAGCGAAUCUCUAAAAGCCGAUCCCAGUUCGGAUUGUAGGCUGCAACUCGCCUACAUGAAGUCGGAGUUGCUAGUAAUCGCGAAUCAGCAUGUCGCGGUGAAUGCGUUCCCGGGUCUUGUACACACCGCCCGUCACACCAUGGGAGUUGUCAAUACCCGAAGCCAGUGAGCUAACCAGAAAUGGAGGCAGCUCUGAAGUAGGGCAUGCGA
rnacentral:rRNA from 1 species